rnacentral:rRNA from 1 species
GAUGAACGCUGGCGGCGUGCCUAAUAAAUGCAAGUCGAGCGAAUGGAUUAAGAGCUUGCUCUUAUGAAGUUAGCGGCGGACGGGUGAGUAACACGUGGGUAACCUGCCCAUAAGACUGGGAUAACUCCGGGAAACCGGGGCUGAUACCGGAUAACAUUUUGAACCGCAUGGUUCGAAAUUGAAAGGCGGCUUCGGCUGUCACUUAUGGAUGGACCAGCGUCGCAUUAGCCAGUUGGUGAGGUAACGGCGCACCAAGGAAACGAUGCGUAGCCGACCUGAGAGGGUGAUCGGCCACCCUGGGCCUGCGACACGGCCCAGACUCCUACGGGAGGCAGCAGUAGGGAAUCUUCCGCAAUGGCCGAAAGUCUGACGGUGCAACGGCGCGUGAGUGAUUAAGGCUUUCGGGUCGUAAAACUCUGUUGUUAGUGAAGAACAAGUGCUAGUUGAAUAAGCUGGCACCUUGACGGUACCUACCCAGAAAGCCACGGCUAACUACGUGCCAGCCGCCGCGGUAA